rnacentral:lncRNA from 1 species
CGGGAUCCAAGGAGAGGAAUGUCAUACUCUUAGAUCAAAGACUUUGGAAAUUAAAAACUUGUCAACUCUUGCUAGCAUAUUGCUUAUUAGAGGGACCAUGGGCUAUCAUUUUCUUUCUUUUCUUCUUCUUUUUUUAAGUGGAUACCGAGGUACCCCUAAUUCUACUGCCGGAUACCUAUCCAUUUUUUCUACGAGGUUAUCGAGCACUUGCUCCUUUUUAUUUCCUCGAAAUAUCUUUAUUUUUGCAUAGCCCAUGCCUCUAAUGCAAUAAUACUUCGGAAGAGUGAAUCUUUUUGAAUAAAUAUCUUGAUCUUAGGAGCAUGAUAAAUCUCUCAACAAGGGUCUAACU